rnacentral:rRNA from 1 species
CCUACGGGUGGCUGCAGUGGGGAAUAUUGGACAAUGGGGGGAACCCUGAUCCAGCCAUGCCGCGUGUGUGAAGAAGGCCCUCGGGUUGUAAAGCACUUUCAGUGAGGAAGAACGCCUGGUGGUUAAUACCCAUCAGGAAAGACAUCACUCACAGAAGAAGCACCGGCUAACUCCGUGCCAGCAGCCGCGGUAAUACGGAGGGUGCGAGCGUUAAUCGGAAUUACUGGGCGUAAAGCGCGCGUAGGUGGCUUGAUAAGCCGGUUGUGAAAGCCCCGGGCUCAACCUGGGAACGGCAUCCGGAACUGUCAAGCUAGAGUGCAGGAGAGGAAAGUAGAAUUCCCGGUGUAGCGGUGAAAUGCGUAGAGAUCGGGAGGAAUACCAGUGGCGAAGGCGGCCUUCUGGACUGACACUGACACUGAGGUGCGAAAGCGUGGGUAGCAAACAGGAUUAGAUACCCCGGUAGUC